GUUGCCAGCCUUUCUACCCGACGGGGGCUGGGGGUGCGCCUCAGCGCAGGUCUCCUAGGAGAGCGAGCAUCUGUGACGGAGCAUUUGGGGCAGGAAACCCCUGUGCGGAUUUCAGUCACUGACUCUGGCUCUCAGCUCUGCCCCAGCCUGGAAGGCACGACCCCUCACGGUCACCCUGCUCACGGCUGGCGCCUCAGCUGGACGGACACCAGGCAUCACGCUCGUUUGACCUUUGUCUGUGGAAGUGUAGGCAGCCCUUCUGACGGUUCACACACACGCAGACAGGCACACACGCGUGAGCGCGCACACACAUGCACACGGGCACACACACACUCUCCCCUGCAGCCCUCAGACACCCCCAGCCCCGCCCCCCGGCUCCCUCGUGGCGCCGCCCCAUGUCUGUCUCCGUCCAGCAGAAUCAAGCGGAAGGAGUUCCUGCCCGCGCUCUCCAGGUGCUCCAGCCUGAGCUCCGUCAGCACCGUCACCCCUGAGAGCUCCCCACCACCCCAGAACACAAAGGACCAGAGAGAAAGAAAGCAACUUCGAGCAGGAGACGUGGCUGCAAACCAAGCCUCCGCAUCAGGAGCCCAGGGACCUGAACCAGCUGAGUCCCGCGUCCAGGGGUCCUUUUCCACCAGGAUCCCAGCUGCAGAGUCUGUCCUGGAAACCCUCCAGCUGCCGUCCCCGCUGCAGGGCCGUGACCAGGACGUGUGGCCUCAGGUGCACCAGGACACUGUCCCCAGCCACCAGGAGCCCUGGACCAUGGAGUCCACAGUCAUCAACGUCCCUGGAGGGCUGGACGGCGAGCUGGACGGCGAGCUGGACAUCCAGCAGGUGCCCCGCACGCUGGCAGUGAUGCCGUUCGUCCAGGCGCCUGAGAGCCUGCCGGGCAUCAAGGAAGAGUGUGGGGAGGAGGGGACCCCAGUCAUCAGAGAGAUGGGGGUCUGCACCCCCACGAAGGCCCCUGUGCCCAGCAGCCCCACCCCCGUCACCAUGAUCAUGAUGCCGGAGGACCCGGAGCUGGGGGACAGGGCACCUCAGCUUGUGUAG
rnacentral:lncRNA from 1 species